CGUGCCCUGGACCCCAAGCGGGAUGAUCUAGCCCUCGGCAGGUAGAACCGCGGGAAAGACCGCGAGGACGAUCGAACCCACCUGGGUUGAAAACCGGGGGGAUGACCUGGGGCUAGGGGUGAAAGGCCAAUCAAAUUCCGUGAUAGCUGGUUCUCUCCGAAAUGCAUUUAGGUGCAGCGUCGGUUGAUUGCAUCGCGGGGGUAGAGCUACUGGAUGCUUGCGGGCCCGUGUCGGGUACCAAUAGCAGCCAAACUCCGAAUACCGUGGAUGUGUAUUCCGGCAGUGAGUCGGCGGGGGAUAAGCUCCGUCGUCGAGAGGGAGACAGCCCAGAUCGUCGUCUAAGGUCCCGAAGCGUGUGCUAAGUGGGAAAGGAUGUGGAGUCGCAUAGACAGCCAGGAGGUUGGCUCAGAAGCAGCCAUCCUUGAAAGAGUGCGUAACAGCUCACUGGUCUAGUGGUUCCGCGCCGACAAUGUAGCGGGGCUCAAGCACACCACCGAAGACGCGGCAACAGUUUUUGCUGUUGGGUAGGAGAGCGUCCCGCGUGGGGCGAAGCGGCCGUGGAAACGUGCCGUGGACCGCGCGGGAGCGAGAAUGCAGACAUGAGUAGCGAGAGACGGGUGAGGAUCCCGUCCGCUGGAUGACCAAGGGUUCCGGGGCCACGUUCGUCGUCCCCGGGUGAGUCGGGUCCUAAGGCGAGGCCGACAGGCGUAGUCGAAUGGAUGAACGGGUGGAUAUUCCCGUACCGGCAGCGAACCGCAAGAGCCGAACGGAUGAGUACUAACCUCCGGUCGCGUGGCGUCGUUCCCUUCGGGGUUCGGGGCGUGCGAUUGUUGGGAGCGUAGUCCUGGUAGGUUAGCGCACAGGGGUGACACGGAAUGGGAGCCGGCCGCGGAGGUGGUUUUCCGUGGUCAAGCACGCAGCCCGUCCCAUAGGCAAAUCCGUGGGACAUGUAGGGUGAGGUGCGAUGAUGGGCGCCUUUUGGCGCGAUAUCCGGUGGUCCAGGCCGUCGAGAAAAGCCUCGGCGCGAGGGGCGUUGCCGCCCGUACCCCAAACCGACACUGGUGGUCAGGUAGAGAAUACCAAGGCGAUCGAGCGAAUCCUGGUCAAGGAACUCGGCAAAUCACUCCCGUGCCUUCGGUAUAAGGGAGACCCCCGGACGUGAAGAGGCUUGCCCUCGGAGCGUUUGGGGGUGGCACAGACCAGGGGGUAGCGACUGUUUACCAAAAACACAGGUGCAUGCGAAGGCGCAAGCCGCUGUAUAUGCACUGACGCCUGCCCGGUGCCGGAAGGUUAAGAGGAUCCGUCAGCCCUCGGGUGAAGCGGUGAAUUCAAGCCCCGGUAAACGGCGGUGGUAACUAUAACCAUCCUAAGGUAGCGAAAUUCCUUGUCGGGUAAGUUCCGACCUGCACGAAUGGCGUAACGACUUCCCCACUGUCUCGACCAGGAGCUCGGCGAAAUUGCAGUACGAGUAAAGAUGCUCGUUA
rnacentral:rRNA from 1 species